rnacentral:rRNA from 1 species
CCGCCAGAAAAUUACGAGCGAAAAGCUUAAAACUCAAAGGACUUGGCGGUGCUCCAUACCCGACUUAGAGGAGCCUGUCCUAUAAUCGAUACCCCACGCUAAACCUUACCGCCCCUAGCCCCCCCCCAGCCUAUAUACCGCCGUCGCCAACCUACCCCAUGAGGGAAAAACAGUAAGUACAACAGUUAAACAACUAAAACGUAGGUCAAGGUGUAGCUUAUGGGGCGGUAGAGAUGGGCUACAUUUUUU